rnacentral:rRNA from 1 species
CCACGGGGGAAGCGGAUUGCAUCAGUGUUUGCUAGUAUCUGUUCAGCUUUCUUUUUAUUAAGUUUGUGUAUUCAGUGCUAGCUGUGUUGGCAUGGCUGUCUUGGCUUUGGAUUAUGCAAAGCUAGGUGGUGAGGGCUCCUCUUUUUUUUAUAUGGGUGAGGAUGUCAACAAAAUGAUGCGACCCGACCCGUCUUGAAACACGGACCAAGGAGUCUAGCACGACUGCGAGUCGAAGGGUAUUUUAAACCCAUGGGCGAAGUGAAAGCGAAUAAUUGGAAAUCUGAUACAGAUUAGGGAGGUGUUGCGACGUUGUCAAAAUAUCCUACCCAGAGCAGUAGUGCUGGGACCCGAAAGAUGGUGAACUAUGCCGGAAUAGGGCAAAGCCAGAGGAAACUCUGGUGGAGGCUCGUAGCGAUGCUGACGUGCAAAUCGCUCGUCGAAUUUGGGUAUAGGGGCGAAAGACUAAUCGAACCAUCUAGUAGCUGGUUCCCUCCGAAGUUUCUCUCAGGAUAGCGGGCCGACGAUGUGGGUUGUUUUGUGU